CAUGUGACAGACCCCGACCAGGACUGGCUCUCCAUAUCCAGGAGGGGGAGAGGUCACUUGCGCAGGGGUCCCGUGUCCCCGGUCUCGUUCCUCGUCUGGUGUUCACACCUUUGGGAGGGGAGGGGUUCUGUCAUGACCCACUCGUCCAGUUGUCCUGAGUGCCACGCCCGCUCAUCUACCCCAUGUGGAUUCCCUAUGUUCACCAGCUGUUUUGCAUUUUUUAUGAUUAGUUUAGUGUAUUUAAGUCCACGUCACAGUAGGUUUCCCCAGUCCUGUCAUUAAUGUUACAUGUGUUCUAGAGUGUGUUACCCUGUAAAUUGUUUGUAUCCACGGCUUCCUUCGCCUGCCGAUCCCUAACAGAUCUCUGGUCAACAUGAACAGUAUUUACAAAUCAAAGUAUUUUUUACUCCUGGCUCUUUCACUUAUAAUAUACCACUUGCUUGGUAUAUACAAACAAAAAAGGUAUUUUGGCAAAGUGAAACUUGGGAUCCAAGUGCAGGAUCAGGCCAUUUGUCCUGCAUCCAAGAAGCACAGCAUCUUACUUGUCUUAAUGUUGUCAGGUUCUCCAGAUCAGUGGCUCCACUGACUACUAUCAAUUAAAAUUCCAGAGUGGGGGAGCUGGCAAUGUAAAAAAAUAUAAACUUUAUUUUAGAAUAUUCAGAAAAUCUUCAUUGUAAUCGUCAUGCUACACAGUUUUAGAAUUACUGAUCUGUACAGUGUUCCUGGGAGGCUUGUAAAAAUUCUCACGGAAUAUGUUUAAAUGGCAGAUGGCUGUUUUCACAAGAUGGUGGCUGCAGGCUCCAUUUUUACUCCAGGUUGCCUUCUGUCUUGCAGUACCAGUUUUCUAAUUUUGAGAUUAUCUGCGGUGUGCAUUUUCAGGUGCAGAAUUUCAUCCAUAUACUGUAAUGUUUUUGUGAAGUAGUAAUAAGAUGUAUCAAAGAUCAAAUAGAAUAAAUACAUCAAUAAUAAUAUCAUCAUAAAUUAUGUUUACUGUCUGAGACUGAUUUUUCUGGUAUCACUAUGCGGCAGUUUGAAUAAGAUCUAUCAAAUAGUUUUUUUUAUCAUCUUAACAGGAUCAAGUGUCAAAACAUUUGCCAUUUUUUUGCUGUCUCUGUGCAGCACAGAUUCAGAUUCAGUUCCUGUCCAGCUCUCAUGCAGUGUUUCUGCAAAGUUCGAAAAAGAUGCGUUGAAUAGAUUUUCAUGAUUUUAAUCAAACGAUUUUGGAAGCAUUGCUAACUAUUUUUAUGAUCUAAAAGUGCACGGUCUGAAGCACACAAUGAAAGUUCUUUUAGGUUGUGCCCAACCCACUUUUGCUAGUUUAAAGGCAGAAAAAUACUCACUGCACCAGGCGCAGUGUGAUGUCCGAUGCGAGAGUGAACAAGCAUGGAAGUUAAUCCAGAAGACGAAAGCCAAAGGACAAGGUUUUAUUUGGGGUAAACGGGGAGCAGCACAAGACAAACGUCAAUGACAGAGCUGGAGAAUACAGACUUAGAUGUGGACUAAAUACAUCAGACAAGCCGAAAUCACAGGGAACAGCUGGGCACAAUCGGGGAAGCACACGUGGGUGAUCAUAGGCGUGGUACACACGAGGACUGGAUGCGCAGGUCAAGACACACAUGGUCAAAAAUCUUCUAAUUAGUCAUGAGUGUGUUUGGAGUGUAAUGUGCUAUAAACUGCAAGUCUCAGUGACGCAGACCUCAAGAACUGUGAUUGAUCCUCUUGGUAGCAUUCAUUUUUUGUAUGAAGAAAGUGUACAUCCCAGGUGUACUUAUAUCACUGAUUGAAAGUGAAGCGCUAUUUAUAUCUAGUAUUGAAUAACCAUAAUCACUCUAGGCACCGUAGCAACAGGUCUACAAAGAACUCAGUCGUACUUUACAAGACUAAAACAAAAGUAAAAUGUACCAUGGACAUUAACUUCAGAAGAGAAAAUGCAUAAAAUGUGAUAUUGAAGUGGCUUGACCUGUUUCCAAAUAUAGCACAAAUAUAAUCAGGACUUGAUAAAUGGUUAAA